GGAUGCGAUCAUACCAGCACUAACGCACCGGAUCCCAUUAGAACCCCGAAGUUAAGGGCGCUUGGUCGAAGUAGUACUAGGAUGGGUGACCCCCUGGGAAUUCUUCGUAUUGCAUCCC